rnacentral:rRNA from 1 species
AUACGUAGGGGGCGAGCGUUGUCCGGAAUGAUUGGGCGUAAAGGGCGCGUAGGCGGCGCGGUAAGUCUGGAGUGAAAGUCCUGCUUUCAAGGUGGGAAUUGCUUUGGAUACUGCCGCGCUUGAGUGCAGGAGAGGUUAUCGGAAUUCCCGGUGUAGCGGUGAAAUGCGUAGAGAUCGGGAAGAACACCGGUGGCGAAGGCGGCUAUCUGGACAGUAACUGACGCUGAGGCGCGAAAGCGUGGGGAGCAAACAGGAUUAGAUACCCUGGUAGUCCACGCCGUAAACGAUGUAUACUAGGUGUCGGGUUUCUAUAGAGAUUCGGUGCCGCAGCAAACGCAAUAAGUAUUCCACCUGGGGAGUACGUUCGCAAGAAUGAAACUCAAAUGAAUUGGCGGGG